rnacentral:rRNA from 1 species
CUACGUGCCAGCAGCCGCGGUAAUACGUAGGUCCCGAGCGUUGUCCGGAAUUAUUGGGCGUAAAGGGUACGUAGGCGGCCUUUUAAGUCAGGUGUGAAAGCGUGAGGCUUAACCUCAUUAAGCACUUGAAACUGGAAGGCUUGAGUGAAGGAGAGGAAAGUGGAAUUCCUAGUGUAGCGGUGAAAUGCGUAGAUAUUAGGAGGAAUACCGGUGGCGAAGGCGACUUUCUGGACUUUUACUGACGCUCAGGUACGAAAGCGUGGGUAGCAAACAGGAUUAGAUACCCUGGUAGUCCACGCCCUAAACGAUGUCAAUUAGCUGUUGGGCAACUUGAUUGCUUAGUAGCGUAGCUAACGCGUGAAAUUGACCGCCUGGGGAGUACGGUCGCAAGAUUAAAACUCAAAGGAAUUGACGGGGACCCGCACAAGCGGUGGAUGAUGUGGAUUAAUUCGAUGCAACGCGAAGAACCUUACCUGGUCUUGACAU